AUUGAACGCUGGCGGCAUGCCUUACACAUGCAAGUCGAUCGGCAGCGCGGACUUCGGUCUGGCGGCGAGUGGCGAACGGGUGAGUAAUGUAUCGGAACGUACCAUUCAGUGGGGGAUAACGCAGCGAAAGUUGCGCUAAUACCGCAUAUUCUGUGCGCAGGAAAGCAGGGGAUCGCAAGACCUUGCGCUGAUUGAGCGGCCGAUAUCAGAUUAGCUAGUUGGUGAGGUAAAGGCUCACCAAGGCGACGAUCUGUAGCGGGUCUGAGAGGAUGACCCGCAACAGGGGAACGGAGACACGGUCCAGACUCCGACGGGAGGCAGCAGUGUGGAAUUUUGGACAAUGGGCGCAAGCCUGUUCCAGCCAUGCCGAGUGAGUGAAGAAGGCCUUCGGGUUGUAAAGUUCUUUCGGCCGGGAAGAAAGCGUAUGGGUUAAUACCCUGUGCGAAUGACGGUACCGGCAUAAGAAGCACCGGCUAACUACGUGCCAGCCGCCGCCGUAACAC
rnacentral:rRNA from 1 species